rnacentral:rRNA from 1 species
GGUAACGGCUCACCAAGGCUAUGAUGUCUAGGGGGUCUUAAAGGAUGAUCCCCCACACUGGUACUGAGACACGGACCAGACUCCUACGGGAGGCAGCAGUGAGGAAUAUUGGUCAAUGGGCGCAAGCCUGAACCAGCCAAGCCGCGUGCAGGAUGAAGGCCCUAUGGGUUGUAAACUGCUUUUUUACGGGAAGAAUUCCCCCGACGUGUCGGGGAGUGACGGUACCGUACGAAUAAGCAUCGGCUAACUCCGUGCCAGCAGCCGCGGUAAUACGGAGGAUGCAAGCGUUAUCCGGAUUUAUUAGGUUUAAAGGGUGCGUAGGCGGACUUGUAAGUCAGCGGUGAAAUACUACAGCUUAACUGUAGAACUGCCGUUGAUACUGUGAGUCUUGAGUAUAGUUGAGGUAGGCGGAAUGUGUAGUGUAGCGGUGAAAUGCUUAGAUAUUACACAGAACACCGAUUGCGAAGGCAGCUUACUAAGCUAUAACUGACGCUGAGGCACGAAAGCAUGGGGAGCAAACAGGAUUAGAUACCCUGGUAGUCCAUGCUGUAAACGAUGAUCACUCGCUGUAUGUCCGUUAGGGUAUGCGGCUGAGCUAAAGCAUUAAGUGAUCCACCUGGGGAGUACGGCGGCAACGCUGAAACUCAAAGGAAUUGACGGGGGCCCGCACAAGCGGAGGACAUGUGGUUUAAUUUCGAUGAUACGCGAGGAACCUUACCUGGGUUUAAAUGUAAGACGCCAGUCACGUGAAAGCGAGACCCUCCCGCAAGGGACGGACUACAGUUGCUGCAUGUUGUCGUC